CCAGACUCCUACGGGAGGCAGCAGUGGGGAAUAUUGCACAAUGGGGGAAACCCUGAUGCAGCGACGCCGCGUGGGCGAGGAAGUACCUCGGUAUGUAAAGCCCUAUCAGCAGGGAAGAAACAGGACAGUACCUGACUAAGAAGCCCCGGCUAACUACGUGCCAGCAGCCGCGGUAAUACGUAGGGGGCAAGCGUUAUCCGGAUUUACUGGGUGUAAAGGGAGCGUAGACGGCAUUGCAAGUCCGGAGUGAAAGCCCACGGCCCAACCGUGGGACUGCUCUGGAAACUGUAGAGCUGGAGUGCGGGAGGGGCAGGCGGAAUUCCUGGUGUAGCGGUGAAAUGCGUAGAUAUCAGGAGGAACACCGGCGGCGAAGGCGGCCUGCUGGACCGCGACUGACGUUGAGGCUCGAAAGCGUGGGGAGCGAACAGGAUUAGAUACCCUUGUA
rnacentral:rRNA from 1 species